ACGUACGCUGGCGGCACGCCUAACACAUGCAAGUCGAACGAAGUAGCAAUACUUAGUGGCAGACGGGUGAGUAACAUGUAGGUAUCUGCCCUUUGGCCUGGAAUAACACGAGGAAACUUGUGCUAAUACCGGAUAAGUCUUUACAGAGAAAGCUUUAUGCACCAUUGGAUGAGCCUGCACUUGAUUAGUUUGUUGGUGGGGUAAUGGCCUACCAAGACUGUGAUCAAUAGCUGAUUUGAGAGGAUGAUCAGCCACAUUGGGACUGAGACACGGCCCAAACUCCUACGGGAGGCAGCAGUGGGGAAUCUUGCACAAUGGAGGAAACUCUGAUGCAGCGAUGCCGCGUGAGUGAAGAAGGCCUUUGGGUUGUAAAGCUCUUUCGUCGGGGAAGAAAAUGACUGUACCCGAAUAAGAAGGUCCGGCUAACUUCGUGCCAGCAGCCGCGGUAAUACGAAGGGACCUAGCGUAGUUCGGAAUUACUGGGCUUAAAGAGUUCGUAGGUGGUUGAAAAAGUUAGUGGUGAAAUCCCAGAGCUUAACUCUGGAACUGCCAUUAAAACUUUUCAGCUAGAGUAUGAUAGAGGAAAGCAGAAUUUCUAGUGUAGAGGUGAAAUUCGUAGAUAUUAGAAAGAAUACCAAUUGCGAAGGCAGCUUUCUGGAUCAUUACUGACACUGAGGAACGAAAGCAUGGGUAGCGAAGAGGAUUAGAUACCCUCGUAGUCCAUGCCGUAAACGAUGUGUGUUAGACGUUGGAAAUUUAUUUUCAGUGUCGCAGCGAAAGCGAUAAACACACCGCCUGGGGAGUACGACCGCAAGGUUAAAACUCAAAUGAAUUGACGGGGACCCGCACAAGUAGUGGAGCAUGUGGUUUAAUUCGAAGAUACGCGCAGAACCUUACCAACACUUGACAUGUUCGUCGCGACUCUAAGAGAUUAGAGUUUUCGGUUCGGCCGGACGAAACACAGGUGCUGCAUGGCUGUCGUCAGCUCGUGUCGUGAGAUGUUGGGUUAAGUCCCGCAACGAGCGCAACCCUCACUUUUAGUUGCCAUCAUUAAGUUGGGCACUCUGAAAGAACUGCCAGUGAUAAGCUGGAGGAAGGUGGGGAUGACGUCAAGUCCUCAUGGCCCUUACGUGUUGGGCUACACACGUGCUACAAUGGUAUCUACAACAGGAAGCAAGACUGCGAAGUUAAGCAAAUCCCUAAAAGAUACCUCAGUUCGGAUUGCACUCUGCAACUCGAGUGCAUGAAGCUGGAAUUACUAGUAAUCGUGGAUCAGCGUGCCACGGUGAAUGCGUUCCCGGGUCUUGUACACACCGC
rnacentral:rRNA from 1 species